CCCUGGUGCUACACUAAACAACAAAACAACAACAGCAUAGAGCUACAACACAAACAUAAAGUGCAUCGAGUGCAACCUGGUGCAAACAGUGCGAACAAAAAAAACAGUACAGACAGACAUGUGACCGAAUGAAUGAGGUACAGGUGGUGAUUGACACUCCUGACCACCAAUCAGUAGCGAGCAGGCACUAUUUAGAGCGGGUUGGUUUGAGCCUGGUUGCUAUAGUGAUUUCAGGUAUGUGCUGUUAGUAUGUAGCGUUGGCUAAUUAGUUUUUCUUUGCUUGUUGCACUAAUGGCUCGUUUGUGUAUCCUUAGCCUGUCUUUUCAGUGUGUGUCCCUGUUGGAUGCUGUUUUGGAUCUGUUUACUGCCCUUCCUGCAGGUAUGAGGAAGUUGUUUAGCAAUGUUUAGCUUUAACGCGUGUCAGGUGGCGUGAGUAAUGUGCAGUCCUUGAACUUCAGUUUAACAGCAGGUUAUUUGAAGGCUGCGUAUCCUGAGCGGUGAAUUGAUUCUCAGGAACUUAUCUAUCCGCGUUUGGGUCCUCCUUUUUCGUCCUGGGAGAUUAUUGCUGCGAUUCGACUUUUCCCUCGCUGCGCGCCGAGUGAACAACCUCGGCUUACAACUAUUUAAAAGGGGAAUUCUGCUGCUGCCGUUUGGAUUUUGUGAUUUGUUUUUAACUGGUAUUGUCUGGUCUACUGUGAGGUCGAGCAACGUGCAAGUAUCGGGGCUGGCUUAAGGACGACGCGGCCGCUCCUUUUCAGUUUUGCUUCCCUCAAACUUUUAAUAAAGUUUUUCAUUGUUUUUCUUUGUAAGAGGUGUAUAUGGUGAAUCAUAUUGUGCUUUGGUGACCGCCCAUCGUAUUACGGUGGAAUUGUGACCUUAAUUUGCUUUUUCCUUCAUCUUUGCCUGAGAUUUAUUUUGCUUUUGGUUUCUUUCAGGAGCUGGGGUCCCACGGGUGAAAGGUCUUUGGUGGUGCUAUUUCUACGUUUGCCGUGCAACACUUUUGACGUGUAUGAGUGGGUGCUCUGAGUUCACGGUGAGGUGUGUGUGUGUGUGUGUGUGUGUGUGUGUGUGUGUGUGUGUGUGUGGAAGUGUGCUUUUUGAUAAUUAGUGCUUAUCACUCUGGUGGGUAACCCCAGCCCUGUAUUUAAUGAUUCUAUUUUGUUUUGUUUAUUUGGAAGUUGUGUAAAUUGGUUGUUCAAUAUUUUGUGUCUGAUUGUUUAUUUUUGUUAUUUGUGUAAUUGUCACCGGACCGUUUUUACCAUUGAGAAUAUUUUCUUUUCGUUCUAUUUUAAUUUCAAGUUUUCAAUAAACUUUGUAUCUUUUAUACGAUG